UACGUAGGGUGCGAGCGUUGCCCGGAUUUAUUGGGCGUAAAGGGCGCGUAGGCGGCCACGCACGUCCGUUGUGAAAUCGCCCGGCUCAACUGGGCGGGGUCAGCGGAUACGGUGUGGCUCGAGCAAGCUAGGGGGCAAUGGAAUUCCCGGUGUAGUGGUGGAAUGCGUAGAUAUCGGGAGGAACACCAGUGGCGAAGGCGGUUGCCUGGAGCUUUGCUGACGCUGAGGCGCGAAAGCGUGGGGAGCGAUCCGG
rnacentral:rRNA from 1 species